rnacentral:rRNA from 1 species
GAUGAACGCUGGCGGCGUGCCUAAUACAUGCAAGUCGAGCGAACGGACGAGAAGCUUGCUUCUCUGAUGUUAGCGGCGGACGGGUGAGUAACACGUGGAUAACCUACCUAUAAGACUGGGAUAACUUCGGGAAACCGGAGCUAAUACCGGAUAAUAUUUCGAACCGCAUGGUUCAAAAGUGAAAGACGGUCUUGCUGUCACUUAUAGAUGGAUCCGCGCUGCAUUAGCUAGUUGGUAAGGUAACGGCUUACCAAGGCAACGAUGCAUAGCCGACCUGAGAGGGUGAUCGGCCACACUGGAACUGAGACACGGUCCAGACUCCUACGGGAGGCAGCAGUAGGGAAUCUUCCGCAAUGGGCGAAAGCCUGACGGAGCAACGCCGCGUGAGUGAUGAAGGUCUUCGGAUCGUAAAACUCUGUUAUUAGGGAAGAACAUAUGUGUAAGUAACUGUGCACAUCUUGACGGUACCUAAUCAGAAAGCCACGGCUAACUACGUGCCAGCAGCCGCGGUAAUACGUAGGUGGCAAGCGUUAUCCGGAAUUAUUGGGCGUAAAGCGCGCGUAGGCGGUUUUUUAAGUCUGAUGUGAAAGCCCACGGCUCAACCGUGGAGGGUCAUUGGAAACUGGAAAACUUGAGUGCAGAAGAGGAAAGUGGAAUUCCAUGUGUAGCGGUGAAAUGCGCAGAGAUAUGGAGGAACACCAGUGGCGAAGGCGACUUUCUGGUCUGUAACUGACGCUGAUGUGCGAAAGCGUGGGGAUCAAACAGGGUUAGAUAUCCUGGUAGUCCACGCCGUAAACGAUGAGUGCUAAGUGUUAGGGGGUUUCCGCCCCUUAGUGCUGCAGCUAACGCAUUAAGCACUCCGCCUGGGGAGUACGACCGCAAGGUUGAAACUCAAAGGAAUUGACGGGGACCCGCACAAGCGGUGGAGCAUGUGGUUUAAUUCGAAGCAACGCGAAGAACCUUACCAAAUCUUGACAUCCUUUGACAACUCUAGAGAUAGAGCUUUCCCCUUCGGGGGACAAAGUGACAGGUGGUGCAUGGUUGUCGUCAGCUCGUGUCGUGAGAUGUUGGGUUAAGUCCCGCAACGAGCGCAACCCUUAAGCUUAGUUGCCAUCAUUAAGUUGGGCACUCUAAGUUGACUGCCGGUGACAAACCGGAGGAAGGUGGGGAUGACGUCAAAUCAUCAUGCCCCUUAUGAUUUGGGCUACACACGUGCUACAAUGGACAAUACAAAGGGCAGCGAAACCGUGAGGUCAAGCAAAUCCCAUAAAGUUGUUCUCAGUUCGGAUUGUAGUCUGCAACUCGACUACAUGAAGCUGGAAUCGCUAGUAAUCGUAGAUCAGCAUGCUACGGUGAAUACGUUCCCGGGUCU